rnacentral:rRNA from 1 species
CCAUGCAAACUCCGAAUACCAGUAAGUACUAUCCGGGAGACACACGGCGGGUGCUAACGUCCGUCGUGAAGAGGGAAACAACCCAGACCGCCGGCUAAGGUCCCAAAGUUCUGGUUAAGUGGGAAACGAUGUGGGAAGGCUCAGACAGCUAGGAUGUUGGCUUAGAAGCAGCCAUCAUUUAAAGAAAGCGUAAUAGCUCACUAGUCGAGUCGGCCUGCGCGGAAGAUGUAACGGGGCUCAAACCAGGCACCGAAGCCGCGGAUUCACACUUAUGUGUGAGUGGUAGGGGAGCGUUCUGUAAGUCUGCGAAGGUGUAUCGAGAGGUAUGCUGGAGAUAUCAGAAGUGCGAAUGCUGACGUAAGUAACGAUAAAGGGGGUGAAAAGCCUCCUCGCCGGAAGACCAAGGGUUCCUGUCCAACGUUAAUCGGGGCAGGGUGAGUCGACCCCUAAGGUGAGGCCGAAAGGCGUAAUCGAUGGGAAGCAGGUUAAUAUUCCUGCACGACUUGUAAUUGCGAUGGGGGGACGGAGAAGGCUAGGUGGGCCAGGCGACGGUUGUCCUGGUGAAAGUGCGUAGGCGGUACUCUUAGGUAAAUCCGGGGGUGCAACGCUGAGACACGAGACGAACACACUACGGUGUGGAAGCCAUUGAUGCCCUGCUUCCAGGAAAAGCCUCUAAGCUUCAGAUUACAAGUCAUCGUACCCCAAACCGACACAGGUGGUCGGGUAGAGAAUACCAAGGCGCUUGAGAGAACUCGGGUGAAGGAACUAGGCAAAAUAGAACCGUAACUUCGGGAGAAGGUUCGCUCCUGACAGUGAAGUCCCUUGCGGAUGGAGCAGUUGGGAGUCGCAGUGACCAGAUGGCUGGGACUGUUUAUCAAAAACACAGCACUCUGCAAACACGAAAGUGGACGUAUAGGGUGUGACACCUGCCCGGUGCCGGAAGGUUAAUUGAUGGGGUUAGCGCAAGCGAAGCUCUUGAUCGAAGCCCCGGUAAACGGCGGCCGUAACUAUAACGGUCCUAAGGUAGCGAAAUUCCUUGUCGGGUAAGUUCCGACCUGCACGAAUGGUGUAACCAUGGCCAUGCUGUCUCCACCCGAGACUCAGUGAAAUCGAAUUCGCCGUGAAGAUGCGGUGUACCCGCGGCUAGACGGAAAGACCCCGUGAACCUUUACUACAGCUUGGCACUGAACAUUGAACCUACAUGUGUAGGAUAGGUGGGAGGCUUUGAAGGCGUGACGCCAGUUGCGCUGGAGCCGACCUUGAAAUACCACCCUUGUAUGUUUGAUGUUCUAACGCAGGGCCCUGAAUCGGGCUCGCGGACAGUGCCUGGUGGGUAGUUUGACUGGGGCGGUCUCCUCCCAAAGAGUAACGGAGGAGCACGAAGGUUGGCUAAUCCUGGUCGGACAUCAGGAGGUUAGUGCAAUGGCAUAAGCCAGCUUAACUGCGAGACGGACAGGUCGAGCAGGUACGAAAGUAGGUCAUAGUGAUCCGGUGGUUCUGAAUGGAAGGGCCAUCGCUCAACGGAUAAAAGGUACUCCGGGGAUAACAGGCUGAUACCGCCCAAGAGUUCAUAUCGACGGCGGUGUUUGGCACCUCGAUGUCGGCUCAUCACAUCCUGGGGCUGAAGUCGGUCCCAAGGGUAUGGCUGUUCGCCAUUUAAAGUGGUACGCGAGCUGGGUUCAGAACGUCGUGAGACAGUUCGGUCCCUAUCUGCCGUGGGCGUUGGAUGAUUGAAGGGAGUUGCUCCUAGUACGAGAGGACCGGAGUGAACGAACCUCUGGUGUUCGGGUUGUCACGCCAGUGGCACUGCCCGGUAGCUAAGUUCGGAAUCGAUAACCGCUGAAAGCAUCUAAGCGGGAAGCGAGCCCUGAGAUGAGUCAUCCCUGACCCCUUGAGGGUCCUAAAGGGCCGUUGGAGACCACAACGUUGAUAGG